CCUACGGUGGGCUGCAGUGGGGAAUAUUGGGCAAUGGGCGCAAGCCUGACCCAGCAACGCCGCGUGAAGGAAGAAGGCUUUCGGGUUGUAAACUUCUUUUGUCAGGGAAGAGUAGAAGACGGUACCUGACGAAUAAGUCCCGGCUAACUACGUGCCAGCAGCCGCGGUAAUACGUAGGUGGCAAGCGUUGUCCGGAUUUACUGGGUGUAAAGGGCGUGUAGCCGGGUUGACAAGUCAGAUGUGAAAUCCUGCGGCUUAACCGCAGAACUGCAUUUGAAACUGUUGAUCUUGAGUACUGGAGAGGCAUACGGAAUUCCUAGUGUAGCGGUGAAAUGCGUAGAUAUUAGGAGGAACACCAGUGGCGAAGGCGGUCGGCUGGACAGCAACUGACGGUGAGGCGCGAAAGCGUGGGGAGCAAACAGGAUUAGAUACCCGAGUAGUC
rnacentral:rRNA from 1 species